UACGUAGGGGGCAAGCGUUGUCCGGAAUCAUUGGGCGUAAAGAGCGUGUAGGCGGCCAGAAAAGUCCGCUGUGAAAACUCGAGGCUCAACUUCGAGCUGUCGGUGGAAACUUUCUGGCUAGAGUCCGGAAGAGGAGAAUGGAAUUCCUGGUGUAGCGGUGAAAUGCGCAGAUAUCAGGAGGAACACCGGUGGUGAAGGCGGGUCUCUGGGCCGAUACUGACGCUGAGGAGCGAAAGCGUGGGGAGCGAACAGG
rnacentral:rRNA from 1 species